rnacentral:SRP_RNA from 1 species
GCCAGGCAUGGUGGUGGGCACCUGUGGUCCCAGCUACUUGGGAAACUGAGGCAGGAGGAUCACCAGAGCCUGAGAGUUCUGGGUUGUAGUGUGUAUGCCAAUCACAUGUCUGCUCUAAGUUCAGCAUCAAUAUGGUGACUUUCCAGGAACAGAGGACUAGGUUGCCAAAGGAAGGGUGAACUGACCAGGUCAGAGAAAGGAGCAAGUGAAAACUCCUAUGCUUUUUGGUAGCAGGACUGAAGCUGUAAAUAGCCUCAGUACUCCAGUCUGGGCAACACAGCAAGACCCCAUAUCA